CUCUCGGUAGCCAAGUUGGUUUAAAGGCGCAAGACUGUAAAUCUUUGAGAUCGGGCGUUCGACUCGCCCCCGGGAGA
rnacentral:tRNA from 1 species